UUAAACCCCAACUCAGCUGAGCUGGCUUCAAAAUUCACUUCAGUAAAAGAGAAGAAAAUGGCUGGGCGCUGUGGAUCGCUGUCGAGGUCUCUGCUCUCCACCGCCAGAUCAUCAAUCCGAUCAUCUUCUUCCUCCUCAACCUCCCUCCCCCGCCUCCGCCCUUCGCUUCCACAACGCCUCCACUCUCGCCCACCCCUCUUAUCCUCCACCAGGACUAUGGGAGAGCUAGGGUGCGUCCAAUCGCUGAUGCCACUGCACAGCGCAGUCGCCGCGGCUCGACUCACUUCCCACAUUUCCAUCGAAGCCCGUGCUUUCUGCGAGUUGUCUCAGGGUUCGUAAAUUUCCCAGGAUCGCUCAUUUUCUCUUUGUACUUAAAUACACUGUAGCUCUGCACACCAGGUGCUAUGUCAUAUGGGAUUAGAAGUACAUCCUGUUGGAACUCCAUGAUUCUUAUCUUGAUGGAGGGUGUAGGGAGUACUUUUUGAAUGUUGCUCAAUUCAAUAGGUAUUAUUUCAAGAAUUUGUCCUGUUUUUUUUGUUGCAUAAACUCACAAAGAGUUCCAGCUUUUCAUUUAUGAACUCAUAUGAGUUUUUGUUUGAUUUUUCAAGAUUUUAUAUUGUAAUUUUUAUCAUUAGAGACUACUUGUUUGACUUUAUGGAGCCCCAUAAUUUUGACGUUGGAUAUUUAUCAACAAGAAGCAAGUGUUAGUUCCAAAAUUUAGCAUCAAGGGAAGUUUCUAGAAUUAAUUUUUGGGCAUUACUGUGACCCAAGAAUUUAAUGGAAUGUGGCUGAAUUGGUACAAACGAACACAUGCUUCAGUCAAGUGCAGGCAAUCUGAUACUUUGUUAUGUCUUUAGGGGAAUAAGAAAUGCUAGGUAGCUGGCUUUUUUGGUU